GGAGGUCUUAGCUUAAAUUAAAGCGUCUGAGUUGCAUUCAGGAGAUGUAUAGUAAUGUACAGGUCUUCAGAAGGU
rnacentral:tRNA from 1 species